UGGCGAACGGGUGAGUAACACGUGAGUAACAUGCACUUGACUUCGGGAUAACUUCAGGAAACUGGGGCUAAUACCGGAUAGGAAUCCUUGCUGCAUGGUGGGGGUUGGAAAGCUUCGGCGGUUUUGGAUGGACUCGCGGCUUAUCAGCUUGUUGGUGGGGUAGUGGCUUACCAAGGCUUUGACGGGUAGCCGGCCUGAGAGGGUGUACGGCCACAUUGGGACUGAGAUACGGCCCAG
rnacentral:rRNA from 1 species